AAGGGUUGUUUGAGACUAAGACGUAGAUAGGUGGGGUGUAGAAGUAUUGUGAGAUAUUGAGCUAACCCAUACUAAUUGCCCGAGCGGCUUAACUAUACAACGCUCAAG
rnacentral:rRNA from 1 species